UACGAAGGGUGCAAGCGUUACUCGGAAUUACUGGGCGUAAAGCGUGCGUAGGUGGUGAGUUAAGUCUGAUGUGAAAUCCCCGGGCUCAACCUGGGAAUGGCAGUGGAUACUGGAAAGCUAGAGUGCGGUAGAGGGUAGUGGAAUUCCCGGUGUAGCAGUGAAAUGCGUAGAGAUCGGGAGGAACACCAGUGGCGAAGGCGGCUACCUGGACCAGCACUGACACUGAGGCACGAAAGCGGUGGG
rnacentral:rRNA from 1 species